rnacentral:rRNA from 1 species
UACAGAGGUCCCAAGCGUUGUUCGGAUUCACUGGGCGUAAAGGGUGCGUAGGUGGCGGGGUAAGUCGGAUGUGAAAUCUCCGAGCUCAACUCGGAAAUGGCAUUGGAAACUACCUUGCUCGAGGGUUGGAGGGGGGACUGGAAUACUUGGUGUAGCAGUGAAAUGCGUAGAUAUCGGGAGGAACACCAAUGGCGAAGGCAGCUCGCUGGGACGGUACUGACGCUGAGGCGCGAAAGCGUGGGGAGCAAACAGG